GCGCGCAGCAGCAGCAGCAGCAGCAGCAGCAGCAGCAGCAGCAGCAGCAGCACCCGCAUCCGCUGCGGGAGUCCGAGCCGGAACCACACCCAAGUAGCUGCCCUUUCCUCUUCUGUCAUCUCACCGCCCCACCACAGACCGCGUUCCCCGAGGAAACCGGCCGCCCACGCCCGGAGCAUCCUCCCCUGUUGAGCGGGCGCUGACGGACCCGGCGGCAUGAUGCGGCUGCGAGGCUCGGGGAUGCUGCGGGACCUGCUCCUGCGGUCGCCCGCCGGCGUGAGCGCGACUCUGCGGCGGGCACAGCCCUUGGUCACCCUGUGCCGGCGUCCCCGAGGCGGGGGACGGCCGGCCGCGGGCCCGGCUGCCGCCGCGCGACUCCACCCGUGGUGGGGCGGGGGCGGCUGGCCGGCGGAGCCCCUCGCGCGGGGCCUGUCCAGCUCUCCUUCGGAGAUCUUGCAGGAGCUGGGCAAGGGGAGCACGCAUCCGCAGCCCGGGGUGUCGCCACCCGCUGCCCCGGCGGCGCCCGGCCCCAAGGACGGCCCCGGGGAGACGGACGCGUUUGGCAACAGCGAGGGCAAAGAGCUGGUGGCCUCAGGUGAAAAUAAAAUAAAACAGGGUCUGUUACCUAGCUUGGAAGAUUUGCUGUUCUAUACAAUUGCUGAAGGACAAGAGAAAAUACCUGUUCAUAAAUUUAUUACAGCACUCAAAUCUACAGGAUUGCGAACGUCUGAUCCCAGGUUGAAAGAGUGUAUGGAUAUGUUAAGAUUAACUCUUCAAACAACAUCAGAUGGUGUCAUGCUAGACAAAGAUCUUUUUAAAAAAUGUGUUCAGAGCAACAUUGUUUUGUUGACACAAGCAUUUAGAAGAAAGUUUGUGAUUCCUGACUUUAUGUCUUUUACCUCACACAUUGAUGAGUUAUAUGAAAGUGCUAAAAAGCAGUCUGGAGGAAAGGUUGCAGAUUAUAUUCCUCAACUGGCCAAAUUCAGUCCCGAUUUGUGGGGUGUGUCUGUUUGUACAGUAGAUGGACAGAGGCAUUCUACUGGAGAUACCAAAGUUCCCUUCUGUCUUCAGUCCUGUGUAAAACCUUUGAAAUAUGCCAUUGCUGUUAAUGAUCUUGGAACUGAAUAUGUGCAUCGAUAUGUUGGAAAAGAGCCGAGUGGACUAAGAUUCAACAAACUAUUUUUGAAUGAAGAUGAUAAACCACAUAAUCCUAUGGUAAAUGCUGGAGCAAUUGUUGUGACUUCACUAAUAAAGCAAGGAGUAAAUAAUGCUGAAAAAUUUGACUAUGUCAUGCAGUUUUUGAAUAAGAUGGCUGGUAAUGAAUAUGUUGGAUUCAGUAAUGCAACGUUUCAGUCUGAAAGAGAAAGUGGAGAUCGAAAUUUUGCAAUAGGAUAUUACUU
rnacentral:lncRNA from 1 species